rfam:Gossypium raimondii Chr04_contig_1403, whole genome shotgun sequence.
UGUUAAAAGUUUCAUCCAUUUGUACUGUUAAGAACUGGCUUGGUUGAUAGUUUAAUCAGAUAACGACAUAUGGUAUGCCAGGUGUAACUCAUGUUGACAUAUAAAAACUAGCUUUUAACAGUAGAAUUUGAUGGAAUUUUUAACA